UGGGCUACAGCCACCCACGAGCGCUGGUGCAUAACCAGCAACGAUAUUCUAAGUAUUUGAACUUUGCUACCUAAUGUCUUCCUCACAAAAGUUUAAGGAAGUAAGUUUUGUGGUCAUCACGCCCAUUCUGCAGGUGAGAAAACAGAGUCACCAAGAGACUGACAGAACUGUCAAGGUUAUAGCUACACACUGGACCUGAACCAGAAGGCAGGAGUCCGGAGUCCACGCUGUGGCCUACAUCAAAGACGGCGACCUGUCAUCCUGAUCUAUGCUGUAUGUAUACCAUGUGUUACUGCCUCCGCAGGAAGGGAGCCUCUCACUCACUUCUUGAGUCUUCUGUCUUUAUUUCCAACCCUGUUCUGGCUGCUAGUGAUCAGCAGCUCUUCUCAACAAUGCAUUGGACCUCUGGCAAACACAGCUGAAGUGCUCGC